CUACGGGGGGCUCCAGUGAGGAAUAUUGCACAAUGGGGGGAACUCUGAUGCAGCAACGCCGCGUGGAGGAUGACACUUUUCGGAGCGUAAACUCCUUUUAUAUAGGAAGAAGAUGACGGUACUAUAUGAAUAAGCGCCGGCUAACUCCGUGCCAGCAGCCGCGGUAAUACGGAGGGCGCAAGCGUUACUCGGAAUCACUGGGCGUAAAGAGCGUGUAGGCGGAUUAAAAAGUCAGAAGUGAAAUCCUAUAGCUUAACUAUAGAACUGCUUCUGAAACUCUUAAUCUAGAAUAUGGGAGAGGUAGAUGGAAUUUCUGGUGUAGGGGUAACAACCGUAGAGAUCAGAAGGAAUACCGAUUGCGAAGGCGAUCUACUAGAACAUUAUUGACGCUGAGACGCGAAAGCGUGGGGAGCAAACAGGAUUAGAUACCCGCGUAGUC
rnacentral:rRNA from 1 species